AUACCUGUAGCUCAGUGGCCAAGCAAUUGCUUUGCAUGUAGAAGGUCCCACGUUCGAUUCCUGGCAUCUCCAGGUAGG